UUAAACAAGUCUGCUCGAGGGAAGUUGGUGUUGUCAAUGCUGAGGCCAGGCAGCUCAUCAUAAUUAAAAGUGGGGAUGUGUUUUACCCAAGGCCUCACUAUUGAUGGGAUUUGGCCUCCAACAUGUGCACAGGUGACUGCCUGACAGCCCUAGGACAUGGAGAUUUUCUCAGACGUUUGGCACAGAAAGUCACUGACCAUCUUUGGAGGAAGCAUCAUUUUUGGGAAACACUUCUCCAUUGGAUCCUGAGCCUCAGGUGGAAAACCAGCUGGUGCAGGGGGAAGGUGGCACCCUGUUAUGAAUCUGUUAUUUAUGAGGCUGUGGCUGCUGCAACAUCAGAAUCCACUACUGUAGAGCCUGGCAAGCUGGAUGUGGGAGGCACGGAGGGUCAUGACCUACAGCACAUCGGCAACCAAAAGAUGCCCACAGGUAAAAAAGCCACGGGUGCCGUUUACUCUCUGGCACAUCUGUGGCCACCCUCACCCCCUUGCCAUAGCCUCAUCCCCAGAGACAUCCUCAGCUUCCAACUCCCUCCUGCCCAUAGCUAGCUUUCCCAGAUCUGGGGCAUGGGGGACAAAGGCUGACUCUGCCUCUUGUCUUUGUCAAUGAAGCUUUUUUGAUCUAGGAGAGCCCUUUUUGCAAUGAAAAUUCAAAUACCCCAAUUUUGGAAUCCCCAUCCCAUUCUCUAGCUUAACUACCUGGCCAGUUUGGUACCUAAAUGAAGGAACCAGGCAAGGGUCAGAUUGUUUCUUUUCUACCAUCCCUUAUGGUAGUUUAUUUUUUAAAUUUUUAUUUACUUAUUUAUUUAUUUAUUUAUUUGUUUAUU
rnacentral:lncRNA from 10 species